UACGAAGGGUGCGAGCGUUAUUCGGAAUCACUGGGCGUAAAGAGUGCGUAGCCGGUUUGUUAAGUUUGUUGUUAAAGACUUCAGCCUAACUGGAGGGUCGCAAUGAAAACUGGCAGGCUAGAGGGUGAGAGAGAGAAGUGGAAUUCCUGGAGUAGCGGUAAAAUGCGUGGAUCUCAGGAGGAACACCAAUGGCGAAGGCAGCUUCUUGGCUCAUUUCUGACGUUGAGGCACGAAAGCGUGGGGAGCAAACAGG
rnacentral:rRNA from 1 species